UGUAAUGAUCUUACUAGCGUUAAUGCACCAGAUCCCCUUAGAACUCCAUAGUUAAGUGUGCUCGGGCUAGAGUAGUAUUGGGAGGUGAUCGCCCGAGAAGUCCUGGUAUUUUACAU
rnacentral:rRNA from 1 species